CAGUUCCUCGCUCCUCCGAGUCGCGGAGCACCUAGGGCGCGCUUUCAUCUCCUCUGACCAAGCUCCACGGGUAAGACGAGUGAAUCCCUCCCCAUUGCGCUUGGCUGUGCGCCGCCGUGUCCCGUAAACCGCGGCGGCAGCGUGUGCCGGUCCACAUUGUUGGACCACGUCUGGACGCAGUUGUUCUAUGUAGAGUUGCCUUCGAUUCAGCCUGGGGAUUGCGCACUGUCACACUCAACCACGGUGUCGGCGGGGGCCUGCAGCGGCGUGAGGACACCACCUCUGCUGUUUUGCUUUUAGUUUUAUUUUGUUUUGCUCUUAGUUUUAUUUUGUUUUGCUUUUAGUUUUAUUUUGUUUCGCUUUUAGUUUUAUUUUGUUUUGCUCUGUUUUGUGUGUUGUGUUCUGUUUGCUUUGUUUCAGUUUUGCUUUGGGUUUUGGGGUUUUUGUUUUGCAUUUUCAAUAUUGUGUACCUAUUCACCCACUGUAAUGUUUUACUGGUUGUCUAUUUUUAUGAAUGUAGCUACUUUUAGCAUUUAAAUCUGUCUUUUAAAACAACAGAAAAUCAAUAAAGACUGUGUAAUUGAUGGAACCUGGCUCCCUCUCCCUCUAUGAUGUACUUACCUGUGUGCCUUACCUUUACUUAAU